rnacentral:rRNA from 1 species
UGUCUUUAUGACUUAAAUUUAAAGUCCAAUCUGCUCACUGAUGUUUUAAAGAGCCGCAGUAUUUUAACUGUGCAAAGGUAGCAUAAUAAAUAGUUUUUUAAUUGAGAACUGGAAUGAAAGAUUAGACGAAAAAAUGACUUUUUUUAUUUUAAUAAAUUGAAUUUAAAUUUUAAGUUAAAAUUCUUAAAUAAAUUUAAAAGACGAGAAGACCCUAUAGAUUUUUAUUAUUAAUUUAUUUAAUAAUAAUUUUAUAUUUAUUAAUAAUUUAAUUGGGGCGAUUUUGUAAAAAGAAAAACUUAAAUAAUUUAAACCAUAGAUGAUUGAAUAUUUUGAUCUAAAAAUUUUAAAUAAAAGAUUAAAUUACCUUAGGGAUAACAGCGUAAUUUUAUUUAAGAGUUCAUAUCUAUAAUAAUGUUUGCGACCUCGAUGUUGAAUUAAGAAAUAUAUUGGAGUAGAAAUUAAUAUAAAUUAGUCUGUUCGACUAUUAAAUUC